UCUACCACCUCGGAUGCCUGGAUUGUCCAAACUGUCACCGAAGGGUUACGUUUGGAAUUCACCAACAUGCCACAGGACUUUUACCUUCAAUGCCCUUGGCCACUUCAGCCGGAGAAGCGAUCUCUUCUAUUACUCGAAAUUCACCAUCUGUUGCAAAUCCAGGCUAUAGAACAGGUUCCAUUGGAUCAACUCAAAACCGGCUUUUAUUCAACACUAUUCCUGGUACCGAAAUCCUCGGGCGAUUGGAGAGGUAUUUUGAACCUUCGACGUCUCAAUCAACACAUUUUGUACCGUCGGUUCAAAAUGCAUUCCCUCAAGUCUCUGCUGGGCUGCAUUCGUCGGGGAGAUCUGAUGCAAUCUGUAGAUCUAAAGGAAGCGUACCUGCACGUCCCUAUUCAUCAGUCGCACAGGAAGUUCCUCCGGUUUGCGUUUGGAGACCACCAUUUUCAAUAUCGGGCGAUGCCUUUCGGCCUUUCGUCCGCUCCGAGGACGUUUACAAAGUUGCUAGCGGCAGUAGCGGCGUCGCUCAGAAAGGUUCCUGUUCGUCUGGCAUGCUACCUCGACGACAUUUUGAUCCUGUCGUCUUCUCCCGAACAGGCGACCCAGGACCGGGAGCUAGUACUUCAGUCCCUCCAAAACCACGGGUUCACUUUGAAUCUUGCCAAAAGCCAUCUUAUUCCCACAUCGAGUAUCCUACAUCUCGGAGCUACAAUAGAUUCGGCACUGUGUGUGGUCUCCCUAUCUCCCGACAGACAAGCCAGCAUUCGGGAACUGACAUCUCAAGUCUUACUACACCGGACUGUGACCUUACUGUCUCUCUCCCAGCUUCUGGGGAAGUUGAUAUCUUGCAUAGACAUUGUUCCGUGGGCGCGUUUCCAUCUUCGUCGCCUCCAAUGGUUCCUGCUCCCUUACCAGAGACAAGGUCGAGCGGAGUCUCUUCUCAAGGUAAAGGUUCCAGCUCCAGUUCGCCUUUCCCUGAGGUGGUGGCUGUCUCCGGCCCUCAACAAGGGUUCUCCCUUUCUCGAACCAGCUCGGAUGGUGUUGACCACGGACGCAAGUCUGCGAGGCUGGGGGGCUCACCUCGACCGUCAGCUAGCCCAAGGUGCCUGGUCAUCGGCGGAAAAGCUGCACAAUAUAAAUUGGCUAGAGCUCAGAGCGGUCCGUCUCGCCCUGAUACACUUCAAACGCCUUGUAUAUCGCCAGGACCUUCUGAUUCUAACGGACAAUGUGGCCACCAAGGCCCAUAUCAACAAACAAGGGGGGACCCGCUCCUGGACACUGAUGCAGGAGACGGAGCGUCUUCUGUCAUGGGCGGAGCUCCACCUCUCGUCGAUAAAAGCCAAACACAUCUCGGGGACUCUCAAUCGAGAAGCAGAUUGGCUCAGCAGAGACCAAAUAGAUCACGCCAAGUGGAAGUUAGACCCCAGCUUGUUCCAGGACCUGUCCAGGAGGUUCGGCCUUCCCCUAGUGGACCUGUUUGCGACGGCUCAGAACACCCAAUUGCCGAGAUUCUUCUCCCGCUAUCCAUGUCCAGCAGCGGAGGGGCUGGAUGCUCUUCGGAGUCAGUGGCCCCGGGGCCUUCUUUAUGCCUUCCCUCCCCUUCCUAUCAUCUCCAAGGUAGUGCGGAAGGUCAUUCACGAACGGGCGAACCUUCUACUAGUAGCACCGUAUUGGCCCCGUCGAGAGUGGUUCGCCGACCUCAAGAACUUAUCAGUCGAACCACCGUGGAGGAUUCCACCAGACAAGAUAAUACUGACUCAAGGAGCCAUCCGUCAUCCGGAACCAGAAUGGCUUCGAUUAGCCGUGUGGCAUUUGAGCGCAUAAAGCUCAUCAAGGACAAUUUGUCUGACGAUGUUAUCUCCAUCAUUCAGGCAGCUCGAAGGCCAUCAACGAUUCGUAUUUAUAACGCCUCAUGGACUGCCUUCACGAGAUGGUGCGGGGAUCAUCACGUAGACCCCACAACUGCUUCUGUUCCGGACAUUCUGUGUUUUCUGCAUGCGGGUUUCUCCAAGGGCUUGGCCCCCGCGACUCUACGCCGACAGGUGGCGGCUCUAGCCACUGUCCUGUCAGGAGAAUCUCGUGUUCCUUUGUCUCAGGACCCCAGGAUCCGUUCCUUCCUCCAAGGGGUCUCAAACUUGCGGCCUCCACCGAUUCAUCGCUACCCCACUUGGGACCUUACCUUGGUGUUACAGGCCUUAACGGGUCCACCGUUCGAACCCAUCGCUUCGUCCAGUCUACGCUACUUGUCUUUAAAAAUGGCCUUUUUGUUAGCAAUAACUUCAGCGCGCAGAGUAUCCGAAAUUGCUGCCUUGUCCAUGAGAAGUGAUCUCUGCAUCUUCUAUCCUGACCGGGUUGUUCUACGCCUCGACCCGGCUUUCGUUCCCAAAGUGAAUACUCGUUUUCAUCGAGCCCAAGAACUCGUCUUGCCUAACUUUUGCCCGAACCCGCGUCAUCCUGCUGAGAAGCGGUGGCAUACUCUAGAUGUGAGACGGGCAUUGAGAAGAUAUCUUAAAAGGACUGCCCCUUUUCGAAAGACUGAGGCUCUGUUGGUGUCCUUCCUUCCCUCUUCCCUGGGUCAGAAGGUUUCUUCAACCACAGUAGGAAGGUGGCUCAAAGCCUGUAUUUCUAAGGCAUAUGACUUAAGAGAGGCCCCUGUCCCGGGUGGUAUAUUGCCCCAUUCUACCCGUAGCGCCGCAACCUCUGCGGCUUGGGCUACCCAGGCUUCGGUAGAUGAUAUUUGCCGGGCGGCCACAUGGUCUUCCCUUUCAUCCUUUGUAAGUCACUAUAGGCUGGAUAAGUUUGCUUCUGCAGAUGCUGCCUUUGGCAGAAGGGUAUUGCAAGCUGUAAUCUCUCCACAGGGCCAGUCUACGGCUUAAUUCCCUCCCUUUUCUUUCUAACUUGGGUAUGUCCCAGACUGAGGAGUGUCUGAACGGCGAGUAGGAAAAUGGUCGUUGCUUACCUGAACGACCCUUUUAUACUCGACGUUCAGACACUCCGUCCCUCCCUUUCUUGGCCGUGCCUGGCUUUGGUGGAGGUCUGCUUUUUCUCCCUCUGUAGCUGUCUGCUUCCUGUGUGUCUACCUGAUGGAGUUUCUAAUGGUCGAUCCUGCUGCUAUUGAGCCAAGUUGUCUUCGUGAAAAGUCUGAGGAGGAAGCAGGAAGAGAGGAGGAUGCAGCUCCAGAGGGAUUUGAUUGACACUCAGCUGUGCAAAUAGGAGUGAUCGUAACCCAGACUGAGGAGUGUCUGAACGUCGAGUAUAAAAGGGUCGUUCAGGUAAGCAACGACCAUUCUGCUGACUGCCGGCUGACUGAAAUUUGGCAGUUCAAGUCUCACCGGGCUCAAGGUUGACUCCGCCUUCCAUCCUUCCGAGGUGGGUAAAAUGAGGACCCAGAUUGUUGGGACCCAGUGGGGGCAAUAGGCUGACUCUGUAAACCACUUAGAGAGGGCUGUAAAGCCCUGUAAAGUGAUAUAUAAGUCUAAGUGCUAUUGCUAUAAAGCCAAUACAUGGCAUGGGCCAGGUUAUUUGAACUAUUGCCUUUCCCUGAGGCAGGAGAGGCAUUGUCUUUGGAGCCAAAAGAAUCAGUCGCCUCUUAUAAGCUGCUAAGAGCACCUUACUAACGAUAGCAGAAAUGACCCAGGUGAGGCCAUUUUCUCUAGUACCUAAUGCUAGGUUCCAUGUAGAAGCUCCCCACAACACAACCCCCCCCCCAAAAAAACCCAACCUGUUUCAAAACCUGCUUCAUAACCCUGCUAUGGUCAGGAGACUGCAAGACCUGACUUUGACUGGAACAUGACUUCUGGAUGGGAAUUGAAACUCUUGAGACUUUCACAACUUUGAAACUAUGUGAAGAUCCCCCCCUCCCCUUUUAUUCAGCAAGCAAGAGUAAAAAACAAGCAGGCUAGCUCAGAAUUUUAUUUAUUUAUUUAUUUUAUUCAAUUUGUAUACCGCCCUUCUCCUAGUGGACUCAGGGGGGUGCACAGCCAGAACUAAAACACAUACCAAUACAAAAUUUAAAAUUAUUAAAAGAAUUACAUGACUUUGGCCCAGAAUUUAAAACAUUCAAACUAAAACCCAUUGACAAUUUAAAAAGCUAAAAAAAAAAAAAGGGGGGGGGGUUCACGCCAGCCCUGCUUGAUGGAAAAAAAAAGUUUUUAGGGCACGGCGAAAGACCCGGAGAUCCGAUAUCCUUCGUAUCUCCGGGGGCAAAUCGUUCCAGAGGGCAGGAGCUGCCACAGAAAAGGCCCUCCCCCUGGGGGUUGCCAGUCGACAUUGCCUGGCUGACGGCACCCUGAGGAGUCCCUCUCUGUGGGAGCUUACUGGUCGUUGGGAGGCUAUCGGCGGCAGAAGGCGGUCCCGCAAAUGAGCUCUAAACUGCUAGACUUUUCUUAAUAUGAAGGGGGGGAAAAAUCAAAAUACGUCACUAAACUCCUCAAAAUAACAAUGGCCUUCUGCAUUGCCACCACAGCUGGUAAUGAGGAAAACGGCAAUCCAAGCUUGCUUCUUUGCAAAGAGUCCAGAGUUUAAAAAGAAAAAAAAAAAAACCAGUUCACCAAUGCUUCAAUAUAAGAGAAGAAAAAGGAUGCUAAAGAAAGAAAGAGAAUGAGAACGGGAAAUAGUAUAAAGACAGAUCUCCAUAAAUUGCUAAAUGUCAUUCUCUAAAACAGAGAUAAAUUCAGAAGCAGAAAAUGAGGGGGGGAGCUAGGGGAAACAAUAUUCACCGAUAUAAUAAAGGAAAAAAAAAAAAAUCUCACAAGCACUCAUCUGAAAGAGAAGAGUAGAAAAUUAUGCCUUGUCUUUAUCCCAAAUGCUUCUGUGCUGCUUCAGUCAUAUGUCUUAAAACAUUAUGAUGAAUGUUAUAUAAUUGUCCCCGACUCUACAUAACAUUUCCCACUUCACUGGUGGCUGGAGCUAAUAAAGAAGGAAAAAUGGAGAAAAGCAGCUGAAAGGUCCUGAGCAGGAAAUGAAGGGUUACCUGAAAGAAAACCUGUUGCAAGUAGUGAAAGUGAUUAUCCAGAGCUUUUCUGUGUGUGCUUACAGCAACCCUCUUCCUUCCCUAGGGCUGCAUAUACGCAUGGUUGUGAUUCCUAGUCCUAGUGCACAUUUGCAGCCAGGAACAACCUGACCAGAGUAAUCCUGACUUGACUCUUGAUGACUGCCUCGACACAUCCCUGCAGUUUUUUUGGAAAGAUUUCAGAAAUGGGUUUCCAUUGCCUGCUUCCUAGGGCUGAAAGAGAGGUAGUGACCUAAGGAACAUGCUGUUACAAAGAAGAAGCAUUCAAAAAAAUAUAAAAAGGAAAAGAAGAAGAAAA